GAUUGAAACGACUGCUAAGACUGGAUAGGAGACAAGAAGGCAUCUUCUUGUUUUUAAAAGACCUAGCAAUAGGUAUGCUUAGGGAGGAGCUUGCGUCACAUUAGUUAGUUGGUGGGGUAAAGGCCUACCAAGACUAUGAUGUGUAGCCGGGCUGAGAGGUUGAACGGCCACAUUGGGACUGAGACACGGCCCAAACUCCUACGGGAGGCAGCAGUAGGGAAUUUUCGGCAAUGGAGGAAACUCUGACCGAGCAACGCCGCGUGAACGAUGAAGUAUUUCGGUACGUAAAGUUCUUUUAUUAGGGAAGAAUAAAUGAUGGAAAAAUCAUUCUGACGGUACCUAAUGAAUAAGCCCCGGCUAACUAUGUGCCAGCAGCCGCGGUAAUACAUAGGGGGCAAGCGUUAUCCGGAAUUAUUGGGCGUAAAGGAUGCGUAGGCGGUUAAAUAAGUUUAUGGUCUAAGUGCAAUGCUCAACAUUGUGAUGCUAUAAAAACUGUUUAGCUAGAGUUAGAUAGAGGCAGUGGAAUUUCCAUGUGUAGUGGUAAAAUGCGUAAAUAUAUGGAGGAACACCAGUAGCGAAGGCGGCUUGCUGGGUCUUUACUGACGCUGAGGCACGAAAGCGUGGGGAGCAAACAGGAUUAGAUACCCUGGUAGUCCACGCCGUAAACGAUGAGUACUAAACGUUGGGUAAAACCAGUGUUGAAGUUAACACAUUAAGUACUCCGCCUGAGUAGUACGUACGCAAGUAUGAAACUUAAAGGAAUUGACGGGACUCCGCACAAGCGGUGGAUCAUGUUGUUUAAUUCGAAGGUACCCGAAAAACCUCACCAGGUCUUGACAUGCUUCUGCAAAGCUGUAGAAACACAGUGGAGGUUAUCAGUUGCACAGGUGGUGCAUGGUUGUCGUCAGCUCGUGUCGUGAGAUGUUGGGUUAAGUCCCGCAACGAGCGCAACCCUUAUUGUUAGUUACCAGCACGUAAUGGUGGGGACUUUAGCAAGACUGCCAGUGAUGAAUUGGAGGAAGGUGGGGACGACGUCAAAUCAUCAUGCCCCUUAUGACCUGGGCUACAAACGUGAUACAAUGGCUGUUACAAAGGGUAGCUGAAGCGCAAGUUUUUGGCGAAUCUCAAAAAAACAGUCUCAGUUCGGAUUGAAGUCUGCAACUCGACUUCAUGAAGUUGGAAUCGCUAGUAAUCGCGAAUCAGCAUGUCGCGGUGAAUACGUUCGCGGGGUUUGUACACACCGCCCGUCAAAUCGAAUUCCCGCGGCCGCCAUGGCGGCCGGGAG
rnacentral:rRNA from 1 species